GAUGAAGAACGUAGCGAAAUGCCAUAAGUAAUGUGAAUUGCAGAAUUCAGUGAAUCAUCGAAUCUUUGAACGCACAUUGCGCCCGCCAGUAUUCUGGCGGGCAUGCCUGUUCGAGCGUCAUUUCAACCAUCAAGCCCCCGGCUUGUGUUGGGGACCUGCGGCUGCCGCAGGCCCUGAAAAGCAGUGGCGGGCUCGCUGUCACACCGAGCGUAGUAGCAUACAUCUCGCUCUGGGCGUGCUGCGGGUUCCGGCCGUUAAACCACCUUCAUAACCCAAGGUUGACCUCGGAUCAGGUAGGAAGACCCGCUGAACUUAAGCAUAUCAAUAAGCGGAGGA
rnacentral:misc_RNA from 1 species